CUGUAAUAUUGUUUCUAAUGUUUUUCGAGGUGGGGCUGUGCUGAGCUGCUGAGUUUUUACCUUCAUGAUCUGUCGUGCUAGAGUGUGCUACUAGUUAAUUUGCACGCACGGGUAAAAGGUGCGCGUUUGAAGUGUCGGAUUCCCGUUCCUGAUGCUCCUGGAGCUCCAGCUCGUCCGAGAGCCGACACCGAGCAGAGGUUGCUACUGCAGUAGCCCCACCUGCUGUUGGAUGGGAAAGAAGCGUCUUGGUCCUUUAAUGCAGUCUGAUUAUGUGAUAGAAAGUUUGAUUCAAGGCCAGGUUGGACGGGGCCUUGGGCAGCCCGAUCAACUCACCACUUGGGAGGUGAGUUGAAAUUACUUGAUCUUUAAGGUCCCUUCCAACCCAAACCAUUCUGUGAUUCUAUAAUUUCAGGAGCUUUCUGUGAAUCUGAUCAAGAAAAAGUUACAAAGGGUUA